CAUGAACACAUGACAUGGAAGAUUAAGCCGAAAUGGAGUCUGGUAUCCUGCUACUCAACCAGGAGAAGAAGGGAAAUGUAUUAAGGAAAGCUGCCCGGAACUUGAAUGUCAUCACUAACUGCAGGUCAUAUUUCACAAGAGCAUCCCAGAGAAUGUACAAAUUAAUCCAGUGUGGAAAGAUUAUCCGUCUCUGCUCAGCAAAGAACAGAAAAAAGAACAAUGUAUGAAGGUAAUAUGACAGCAAACCGCAUUUAGACAUAUUAGGCUAGACAUGAACGGUGUAUGGU